GGCUCUGUAGCUCAGAUGGUAGAGCAGUGGACAUGUAACCUGAAGGUCGUGGGUUUGAGACCUACCUGAGCCA
rnacentral:tRNA from 1 species